rnacentral:rRNA from 1 species
ACGCUGGCGGCAGGCCUAACACAUGCAAGUCGAGCGGUAGAGAGAAGCUUGCUUCUCUUGAGAGCGGCGGACGGGUGAGUAAUGCCUAGGAAUCUGCCUGGUAGUGGGGGAUAACGUUCGGAAACGGACGCUAAUACCGCAUACGUCCUACGGGAGAAAGCAGGGGACCUUCGGGCCUUGCGCUAUCAGAUGAGCCUAGGUCGGAUUAGCUAGUUGGUGAGGUAAUGGCUCACCAAGGCGACGAUCCGUAACUGGUCUGAGAGGAUGAUCAGUCACACUGGAACUGAGACACGGUCCAGACUCCUACGGGAGGCAGCAGUGGGGAAUAUUGGACAAUGGGCGAAAGCCUGAUCCAGCCAUGCCGCGUGUGUGAAGAAGGUCUUCGGAUUGUAAAGCACUUUAAGUUGGGAGGAAGGGCAGUUACCUAAUACGUGAUUGUUUUGACGUUACCGACAGAAUAAGCACCGGCUAACUCUGUGCCAGCAGCCGCGGUAAUACAGAGUGUGCAAGCGUUAAUCGGAAUUACUGGGCGUAAAGCGCGCGUAGGUGGUUCGUUAAGUUGGAUGUGAAAUCCCCGGGCUCAACCUGGGAACUGCAUUCAAAACUGUCGAGCUAGAGUAUGGUAGAGGGUGGUGGAAUUUCCUGUGUAGCGGUGAAAUGCGUAGAUAUAGGAAGGAACACCAGUGGCGAAGGCGACCACCUGGACUGAUACUGACACUGAGGUGCGAAAGCGUGGGGAGCAAAC